GAGAGAGCAAGGGGAAAGAGAGAGGGAGAGGUAGAGGAGACAGAGAGGACACACAGGCAGGCAUCUCAGUGACUAACCACGACUCACUGUAAUGCAGCAGAGCUGAUGGUCUGACACACUAGAGGUAUCAUGGCUGCUGGAUGGAAGCCGGUGAUAUUUCUGCUUUUGCUGUUGUUUUUUUGCCAACUGACCAAAAGCAAAGACGGAAAAUCGAAGGGAAAGAAAGGCAAGCAAGUGGUCUGUCCAUCCCAGUUGUCCCCAGAAGAUUUGGCCCAGGUUCCGGCUAACUCCACUUCCAACAUCUUGAACCGUCUGAUGGUCAGCUAUGACCCAAGAAUAAGGCCUAAUUUUCAAGGUA